rnacentral:tRNA from 1 species
GCGGACGUGGUGAAAUUGGUAUACACGCCAGACUUAGGAUCUGGUGCCGUAAGGUGUGGAGGUUCAAGUCCUCUCGUCCGCACCA